CAAAGUCUUUGACUCAUUCUUUGGAAAAGCUGUUUUCAUCAAACACUCUGGAAACAGAAACGUUUCCAUUCGAACCAACCUCUUCUCAAAAGCAUGAAACGACUUGAGAUCUAAAUCUUGGAACAAUACCUUUUGACAGAUGCUUUUCCCUCUCCGAUGUUUUAUAUUCUAGAGUGGGAGUGGGCCCUGUGACAUGCAGCUGACUGCACCUCCGUGUGUUCUCGUUUCCCCGUGAUGGAGAGGUGGAGGAAGUCAGGGUGUUAAAACCUUGGCCACUGGUCACUCGUUGUCUGCUGGAGAUACACGGCGACAGACUCAUCGAUUGGCGUACGCUACAGUGGUAACGGACUUAAUGACCCGAGCAGGCAGAAUGAUCACUUUCCAUUGAUCCAGAUGCAUAGAACCUGUGUAGAUGGAAGUUAAAGGGCCUGGAAGAGUGAUACAGCGUAAGGAGAUCUGAUCUGGUUUGAUGAUCUACAGGGCCUGGAAGAGUGAUACAGCGUAAGGAGAUCUGAUCUGGUUUGAUGAUCUACAGGGCCUGGACGAGUGAUACAGCGUGAGGUGAUCUGAAAUAUACAAUCGAGACACUCCAUGUAAUGCAUUAAAAACAAGUAACAACACCUAAAAAUCUAUUCUAUAUUUGACUGGUAUCAUUAACCAUUUAAAAGAAACAAGUUAUUUAAUUUAUACUUUUUUGACUACUCUAUAUCGUUUGAUUCUAUAUAGCAAGAGGUUGGUAUCCAGGGUGUUUCAAUUCUUAUUUGAAAUAUAGAACCUUUUCUGUUAAAAUUGGAAAUAUAAUUUUUUCUUUGGCAGCGAUCACAUGCAGAGUACCUCAAGAUUUGUUCCUGGGGCCAAUUUUAUGUGCAAAUUGAAGGUGGCAUGUGCAACUGAAAUGCAGGGAUAACAGCAAUGAGGUUAUACAUGUAACAAUUGAAAAAUAAUGUAAACAACAUGUACACAAUUUCAAAGAAUGAUUUACAGUAGCCAACAUGAAAAUAUAGAAAAUUAUUUUAUCAGUUGUAUUGAUGAAAAACAAUAACAUGUAAUACAUUUGCUCAAUUGAUAAUUGGUGAUCGUUGGCAUUUCGUUUUGCGAAUAAUUAUUUUGCCUAAUACAUUUGUGGAAUCUUACUCUUCAGUAAAAUAUGCAGAGAAAAUUCAAACAGAGAUGAUAGGGUAUGUAUGCAAUU
ensembl:lncRNA